GGUGGAAAAAUUUAAAAUUGACACUCUCAUAUAGACUAAGGCGAUUAUUUUCCACAGAUGUCCAUCCAAAAUUCCGUCUUUUGGGAGGCAAAUAGCACGAGCAGUUCCGAGCAAAACCCACUUAAACAACAACAACAUCCCCAGCGGAAAAUCAAAUAUUUCAGCCAAGUCCCUGAGCGCCGACAGGACGAAUAAAAACACACGGUUAUACAACAGAUCGGCCAGUGCGGAUAGUCGAGAGCCUGUGAAGAAACUGCAGGCCUCUUCUUCAACUCACAGCUUGAAAAAUGAGCCAAAAGCGGCGAAUGGGGCUCUGGGGAAAAGAUCAGGCAUUCCCAGUCUGGCCCAGAGGUCGCAAAGCAAUGUCAGUGUGGCUUCGAAUGGAGGCGCUAAGAAGCAAGUUACGAGUAAAAUUGCCAGCUUAUGGAAGAGGGUCGAGGAGAGCAAAGCGAGACAGUUUCCAUCGC
rnacentral:lncRNA from 1 species